ensembl:lncRNA
AGAACUGGUGUGUAGCCUAUAAUGGACUGUUCCUCUGCAGUCCUCACACACAUUGUGUUCACAUUUGAAUGGGUUUAUAAUAAUUCAUGACGGCAAGAACAUUAAACCUCUUGCUUACAGGAGCUUGGUUUACCCGACCAAUGAAAUCUGAACUGUGUAAGGCGUCGACAUACUGAUGCUAUAGGAAAAGCAACACAGCACGGCUGUAUCGUGUUACUAUAUGUGUAGCACAGAUGAAUAAUUGGGGUUUGAUUUACAGACAAUGCAUUAAUAAAUAGCGUGUUUAUUUUGUUAUCAUAUGCAUGUUAUUUAAAAAGCAAUGCAUAUUGCAUAACCUAAGAAGUCACAACAAGGUAAACCCACAGAAAUGAGUGUACUAGUGUGUUUGCGUAGGUGGCGAUGACGCAAGCACGGCCAGCCAAUAGCAUCGCAGGAUUUUUAUUUUAUUUUUUUUCAAGCAAAAGGGCAGGUUACACCUCAAUCGAUAAAUGCCCAGUCACUCCGCUCACUUAAUACAGGCUAUUUAUUUAUACCUUCUUAUCUACUUCAUACGUCUGAAAUUAAUUAAAAAGAUCCACAUUUAUCCGAGUUGUUAGUAGGUCGUAUUAUAAGAUGCAACGCUAGAAUCUGAUUUAACUAAAAGUUGUAAACAUCGCGCAGUUAUGAUGCGUCUCGAUAAAUCAAAACAAUAAAGGAGCCAGCAUAAUAAUAUUAUGUUUAGAUCUCCUACGUGUGGGAGAAAGAUACCUAGGAACGCCAGCCAUGAAGGUACUAAACGCUUAUUGGUCGAGGGGCGGGACUCUUUGGUUGUUGACGUAGCGCGCGGCCAAUCAGCACGGAGAACUCGGAGGCGACUGCGUGACGAAAGCGCGUUUGUCCAAUCGUAAGCGCCGCUGAGGUUUUGACCUCUGAAAACCGCAUCACCGCCCCGAUCGCGUCCGUGGCGGAGGAGCGCUAUAAAGGAGAUCCAGUCAGGAGUUUAAAGGGCAGAGUUGUGAGACUCCCAGGCAGUGGGGAGCCGGAUUGCCUGACGACAGACUCCAAAAAACAACACGGUUCCCCAAGGAACAAACAGCUAAUGUUGACGCAACCUAACUGGAAUAAUCGUGUCGAUUACUGUUUGCUUGGAACCGAAGAGGAGAGGGAAGCACGGGCGUUUAAUGAGCGCCAGAGGAUUCGUUUCUCCUCAUCCGCCAGCACUUCUGGGUCCCCACUGAACAACGCACAGACAAACAGCUAUGCAGCUCGAAAUCCAAGUAGCGCUGAACUUCAUCAUUUCAUACCUGUACAACAAACUCCCGCGGCGGCGAGUCAACAUCUUCGGCGAGGAGCUGGAGAGGCAGCUGAAGAAGAAAUACGAAGGACACUGGUACCCCGACAAGCCAUACAAAGGAUCCGGGUUCAGGUGCAUCCACGUGGGCGAGAAGGUGGAUCCGGUGGUGGAGGGAGCCGCCAAAGAGAGCGGGCUGGACAUCGAGGACGUCCGCAACAACUUGCCUCAGGACCUCAGCGUUUGGAUCGACCCUUUCGAGGUGUCCUACCAGAUCGGGGAGAAGGGAGCGGUUAAGGUGCUAUACGUGGACAACAGCGGAGAGAACGGCUCCGAGCUGGACAAGGAGAUCAGAAACAGUUUUAACCCGGAGGCUCAGGUCUUCAUGCCAAUCAGUGACCCGGUGGGCGUCUCGUCCGAGUCCAGCUCGCCGUCGCCGCCUCCGUUUGGCCAGUCGUCAGCCGUCAGCCCAUCCUUCAUGCCGCGCUCCGCCCAGCCUUUAACCUUCACCACCGCCUCGUUCGCCGCAACCAAAUUCGGCUCCACCAAGAUGAAGAACAGCGGACGCAAUGGCGGCAAAGUUGCACGCAGCUCUCCCACCAACCUGGGUCUGAAUGUCAACAGCCUCCUCAAGCAGAAAGCCAUCUCCGGCUCCGUGCAUUCGCUCUACGGUUUCGGCCCGGGAAGUGCGUCUGCGCUCUCUCCCAACGCCAAGGAGUUCGUGUUCCCCA